AGCGGACCGACGGGAGCUUGCUCCCUUAGGUCAGCGGCGGACGGGUGAGUAACACGUGGGUAACCUGCCUGUAAGACUGGGAUAACUCCGGGAAACCGGGGCUAAUACCGGAUGCUUGAUUGAACCGCAUGGUUCAAUCAUAAAAGGUGGCUUUCAGCUACCACUUACAGAUGGACCCGCGGCGCAUUAGCUAGUUGGUGAGGUAACGGCUCACCAAGGCGACGAUGCGUAGCCGACCUGAGAGGGUGAUCGGCCACACUGGGACUGAGACACGGCCCAGACUCCUACGGGAGGCAGCAGUAGGGAAUCUUCCGCAAUGGACGAAAGUCUGACGGAGCAACGCCGCGUGAGUGAUGAAGGUUUUCGGAUCGUAAAACUCUGUUGUUAGGGAAGAACAAGUACCGUUCGAAUAGGGCGGCACCUUGACGGUACCUAACCAGAAAGCCACGGCUAACUACGUGCCAGCAGCCGCGGUAAUACGUAGGUGGCAAGCGUUGUCCGGAAUUAUUGGGCGUAAAGCGCGCGCAGGCGGUUUCUUAAGUCUGAUGUGAAGCCCCCGGCUCAACCGGGGAGGGUCAUUGGAAACUGGGGAACUUGAGUGCAGAAGAGGAGAGUGGAUUCCACGUGUAGCGGUGAAUGCGUAGAGAUGUGGAGGAACACCAGUGGCGAAGGCGACUCU
rnacentral:rRNA from 1 species